UACGUAGGUGGCGAGCAUUGUCCGGAUUUACUGGGCGUAAAGGGAGCGUAGGCGGACUUUUAAGUGAGAUGUGAAAUACUCGGGCUCAGCUUGAGUGCUGCAUUUCAAACUGGAAGUCUAGAGUGCAGGAGAGGAGAAUGGAAUUCCUAGUGUAGCGGUGAAAUGCGUAGAGAUUAGGAAGAACACCAGUGGCGAAGGCGAUUCUCUGGACUGUAACUGACGCUGAGGCUCGAAAGCGUGGGGAGCAAACAGG
rnacentral:rRNA from 1 species